AUGCCAUCAUCAAGGCACUACCAUUCUGGUAGAAUUUACUCACCAACUGGUUCAUCUGAUCAGUGGACUGGCACAUCAGGGCAAUGGUUUUCAAGAGAUGUGAACGUCCAGAUAUACGCUCUGAGUAGUGGGCCGGAAGAUGCCACAUCAUUCCCAAUACUAUGCUGUCUCUAACACAACUGAAAUGGGGUGCACCACAGAGCAGAUCACUCAUAAUGGGCCACUUACUGAACACUUGUCACCUGGACACAAAUGAGGAGCUAAGUGAACACCGCAGUGGAUUUCAGCCACCGUCCCACACCUACAAGAUGUCAAAAGCGCCAAAUCCCAGAGCCUAAUGGGACCUCUGCAGUAGCCAACAUCCCAUAUGCAUAAAAGAACCUUAUAUAGUAGUAUCUCCCCAGCAAAGGGACUGUUCUUGGAAGCCAAACCAUGCUGCUUCUAGAUCCGUAUCCAUUAUCAGCAGUAGAGGAGACAGAGACAGUGCUAGGAGGAGGAAGGACUUAGAGAAAAAGGAGGAGAGCAAUAGAGAAAGGCAUCUGAGUUCCUGUUUAUACCAGUUAUCAGUGAACUUAAUAUACCAAUGAAUUUAAAAUGCACUCGGGGGAAGUUUCCCAUAAAUAGGUUAACUGCAAAAAUAUUCCCACAAGUAGUCAGACUGCCUCCUCUGAGGACAGUGCCUUCAGAAACACUCUUUUUCUGACUAACUUUAGAAACUCUAAAUGCCAGCAACUCUAGCCUGCGGGUCUUCCCCAAGGCCUUCUUACUCUCUUUAGCAUCCUUGAUAAAUAUUUAAAGAACGCUUUCUUAACCUUUCUCUUUGGCUUCUGCAUUCUUGAUACCUUAAUUCUGAAUUGAAAAAGAUCUCUGGUCUAGGACAAUCUUUCUGCCCGUGAGCGUUUGUAACAGAAAGCUCUCCAAGCUAUGCCCAUGGCUUUGCGUUUCCUGGGAAAGGAGGGAGAAAGGAAAAGCAAAUGUUUCAUUCAUCAGUGUCUAAAAGGCCCAACCUGAGCCUCUCAGGAUCUCUGCCUCUUCCAGGGCAAGUCUGCUUGGCCCCAGAGGGAUCUGUCUCCCUCCAACCAGAUGAGAUGCACGGAAUCUAUGGUCCACCAGACAGUACUUAAGGAUGCUGCCUUGCCCAACCUGUGAACAAGCCUCUCUCCAAAACUUUCCUCUCUUGAAUAAAAGUGUGUCAAUGAAUUGUGCAGCCACCAUUCAACUUGGGGCUCCUGAGGGACCAAGUGUCCAGUGAACACUUUGAGAUUUGGUUUGCUGAGAAAUGCCAGAUUCUAAGAAAAUGGGACUUUGGCAGGAUCCCAAGUCCUCAAUGGGCUAACAUAGCCACAGCCCAGUAAAUUUCUGGGAAAAAUUAAUGCAAUGGGACACUAAAGACAAAAAUGCACGCUG
rnacentral:lncRNA from 1 species